GAGAGAAGCUUGCUUCUCUUGAGAGCGGCGGACGGGUGAGUAAUGCCUAGGAAUCUGCCUGGUAGUGGGGGAUAACGUUCGGAAACGGACGCUAAUACCGCAUACGUCCUACGGGAGAAAGCAGGGGACCUUCGGGCCUUGCGCUAUCAGAUGAGCCUAGGUCGGAUUAGCUAGUUGGUGGGGUAAUGGCUCACCAAGGCGACGAUCCGUAACUGGUCUGAGAGGAUGAUCAGUCACACUGGAACUGAGACACGGUCCAGACUCCUACGGGAGGCAGCAGUGGGGAAUAUUGGACAAUGGGCGAAAGCCUGAUCCAGCCAUGCCGCGUGUGUGAAGAAGGUCUUCGGAUUGUAAAGCACUUUAAGUUGGGAGGAAGGGCAGUUACCUAAUACGUGAUUGUUUUGACGUUACCGACAGAAUAAGCACCGGCUAACUCUGUGCCAGCAGCCGCGGUAAU
rnacentral:rRNA from 1 species